GAGGCACCAGACAUACACAUUGAAGAAAAAGGGAAUAAAAUCAGUUGUACCAGAAAAAAUCGUGACUAUAAGUACAGAUUGUGUAUUCUGUAUCAAAAUGAUCACCAAGUGCAAGAUACUGCUCUUCAGUACAAUACUAAACCUACUGAGAAGGCUUCCUUUACUGUCCCUGAUCUUCCUGAUGAGGCUUUAUUUAAAUGUUUGUGUUAUACAACUGGAGAAAGGUGGACACGUAACAGUUCUGCUAUAACUAAAGCAGGAAAAUUGAUCCCUGAACCAACAACAUCAGCAGAAACAA